AUUGAACGCUGGCGGCAGGCCUAACACAUGCAAGUCGAACGGUAGCACAGAGAGCUUGCUCUCGGGUGACGAGUGGCGGACGGGUGAGUAACGUCUGGGAAACUGCCCGAUGGAGGGGGAUAACUACUGGAAACGGUAGCUAAUACCGCAUAACGUCGCAAGACCAAAGUGGGGGACCUUCGGGCCUCACACCCUCGGAUGUGCCCAGAUGGGAUUAGCUAGUAGGUGGGGUAAUGGCUCACCUAGGCGACGAUCCCUAGCUGGUCUGAGAGGAUGACCAGCCACACUGGAACUGAGACACGGUCCAGACUCCUACGGGAGGCAGCAGUGGGGAAUAUUGCACAAUGGGCGCAAGCCUGAUGCAGCCAUGCCGCGUGUAUGAAGAAGGCCUUCGGGUUGUAAAGUACUUUCAGCGGGGAGGAAGGCGGUGAAGUUAAUAACUUCACCGAUUGACGUUACCCGCAGAAGAAGCACCGGCUAACUCCGUGCCAGCAGCCGCAGUAA
rnacentral:rRNA from 1 species